rnacentral:rRNA from 1 species
UAGCGUAUAUUAAAGUUGUUGCAGUUAAAACGCUCGUAGUCGGAUUUCGGGGCGGUCGUGCCGGUCUGCCGAUGGGUAUGCACUGGCUGCGGCUGUCCUUUCAUCUGGAGACCGCGCGUGCUCUUAGCUGAGUGCGCGCGGGAGACGGAUCGUUUACUUUGAAAAAAUCAGAGUGUUUCAAGCAGGCAGCUCGCUCUUGCAUGGAUUAGCAUGGGAUAAUGAAAUAGGACUCUGGUGCUAUUUUGUUGGUUUCGAACACCGGAGUAAUGAUUAACAGGGACAGUCAGGGGCACUCGUAUUCCGCCGAGAGAGGUGAAAUUCUCAGACCAGCGGAAGACGAACCACUGCGAAAGCAUUUG